CAGUCGCCACGGGAAUACGUAGGUGGCAAGCGUUGUCCGGAAUUAUUGGGCGUAAAGCGCGCGCAGGUGGUUUAAUAAGUCUGAUGUGAAAGCCCCCGGCUCAACCGGGGAGGGUCAUUGGAAACUGGGAAACUUGAGUGCAGAAGAGGAGAGUGGAAUUCCACGUGUAGCGGUGAAAUGCGUAGAGAUGUGGAGGAACACCAGUGGCGAAGGCGACUCCCUGGUCUGUAACUGACGCUGAGGAGCGAAAGCGUGGGGAGCAAACAGGAUUAGAUACCCGAGUAGUCCCUGUCUCUUAUAC
rnacentral:rRNA from 1 species